CAGCAACAACUCAAGAAGAUAAAAAAUCACUGAUUAUCAUCCAAUCAAAUAUAUUUUUAUACUCACUUACUUUGUAGCAUCUCAUUUUAGAGCUUUCUAGGCAAAAUAAAUAUCUAACAUAAAAAUAUAUUCCUUAAUACAUCCCCACAAUGGUAAAGCUAGGACUCAAGGAUUCCACCAUAAUUUAGCCUUGUGAAGAUCACAGGACAUUAAAAUGCAUUUUGAAGGAGGAAUGCUCUAAAACAACUAGGAUUUAUAGAAAAGAUACAUAAAUAUCCAUAGAAGUGGUUGAGGUUGUAAAAGAUGAAUAUUGGCACAGAAAUAAAAUGAGAUUACAACUAAAAUCCAAACCUUCUCUAUUUGCAUCCAUCAUAAAAUCAUAAUGAAUUAUUAUAUCCCUAGAUUUUCAACCAAGAAAGGUAAGUCAUAAACACUCACUAAGAAUCCAUAUCCUUCUUGUUUAAAGAAUUGCAGUACAUGAUAAAUUGACAAAUGGAAAAAUCUUUAGAGCAUCAAGCACAUGGAGCAAAGCAAAA